CAGUCGCCACGGUAAUACGUAGGGUGCAAGCGUUAAUCGGAAUUACUGGGCGUAAAGCGUGCGCAGGCGGUGUUGUAAGACUGAUGUGAAAUCCCCGGGCUCAACCUGGGAACUGCAUUGGUGACUGCAACGCUGGAGUGCGGCAGAGGGGGAUGGAAUUCCGCGUGUAGCAGUGAAAUGCGUAGAUAUGCGGAGGAACACCGAUGGCGAAGGCAAUCCCUUGGGCCUGCACUGACGCUCAUGCACGAAAGCGUGGGGAGCAAACAGGAUUAGAUACCCAGUAGUCCCUGUCUCUUAUACA
rnacentral:rRNA from 1 species